rnacentral:rRNA from 1 species
CCUACGGGUCGCAGCAGUGGGGAAUAUUGCGCAAUGGGCGGAAGCCUGACGCAGCGACGCCGCGUGGGGGAUGACGGCCUUCGGGUUGUAAACCUCUUUCAGCAGGGACGAAGCGGAAGUGACGGUACCUGCAGAAGAAGCACCGGCCAACUACGUGCCAGCAGCCGCGGUAAUACGUAGGGUGCAAGCGUUGUCCGGAAUUAUUGGGCGUAAAGAGCUCGUAGGCGGUUUGUUGCGUCGGCUGUGAAAUCCCGAGGCUCAACCUCGGGUCUGCAGUCGAUACGAGCAAACUAGAGUGUUGCAGGGGAGACUGGAAUUCCUGGUGUAGCGGUGAAAUGCGCAGAUAUCAUGAGGAACACCGGUGGCGAAGGCGGGUCUCUGGGUAACAACUGACGCUGAGGAGCGAAAGCGUGGGGAGCGAACAGGAUUAGAUACCCGCGUAGUC